AUACGUAGGGAGCAAGCGUUGUCCGGAAUUACUGGGCGUAAAGGGUGCGUAGGCGGCUUAUUAAGUUAUUAGUGAAAUACCCGGGCUUAACCUGGGGGGUGCUAGUAAAACUGAUAGGCUUGAGUUCGGGAGAGGAACGUGGAAUUCCUAGGGUAGCGGUGGAAUGCGUAGAUAUUGGGAGGAACACCAGCGGCGUAGGCGGCUCACUAGACAGUAUCUGACGCUAAGAUACGAAAGCGUGGGGAGCAAACAGGAUUAGAUACCCUGGUAGUCCACGCCCUAAACGAUGGAUACUUGGUGUUGGGGGGUUGCCCUCAGUGCCGGAGCUAACGCGUUAAGUAUCCCACCUGGGGACUACGGCCGCAAGGCUAAAACUCAAAUGAAUUGGCGGGG
rnacentral:rRNA from 1 species